rnacentral:rRNA from 1 species
UACGAACCGUGCGAACGUUGUUCGGAAUCACUGGGCUUAAAGGGCGCGUAGGCGGUCUGUCAAGUCAGGGGUGAAAUCUGUCGGCUCAACCGGAAAACUGCCUUUGAUACUGAGGAUCUUGAGUUCGGGAGAGGUGAGUGGAACUGCGAGUGUAGAGGUGAAAUUCGUAGAUAUUCGCAAGAACACCAGUGGCGAAGCCGGCUCACUGGCCCGAUACUGACGCUGAGGCACGAAAGCGUGGGGAGCAAACAGG